UACAGAGGUGGCAAGCGUUUGUUCGGAAUUACUGGGCGUAAAGGGCGCGUAGGCGGCCUACUAAGUCAGACGUGAAAUCCCCCGGCUUAACCUGGGAACUGCGUCUGAUACUGGAAGGCUUGAGGAUGGGAGAGGGAUGUGGAAUUCCCGGUGUAGUGGUGAAAUGCGUAGAUAUCGGGAGGAACACCAGUGGCGAAGGCGACUACCUGGCCUGUUCUUGACGCUGAGGCGCGAAAGCUAGGGGAGCAAACGGG
rnacentral:rRNA from 1 species